rnacentral:rRNA from 1 species
AGGGGUAUAGUUCUUCGGAGCUAGAGACCGGCGCACGGGUGCGUAACGCGUAUGCAAUCUACCUUUUACAGAGGGAUAGCCCAGAGAAAUUUGGAUUAAUACCUCAUAGUAUGUGAGAAUCGCAUGGUUUUCACAUUAAAGUUCCAACGGUAAAAGAUGAGCAUGCGUCCCAUUAGCUAGAUGGUAAGGUAACGGCUUACCAUGGCAACGAUGGGUAGGGGUCCUGAGAGGGAGAUCCCCCACACUGGUACUGAGACACGGACCAGACUCCUACGGGAGGCAGCAGUGAGGAAUAUUGGACAAUGGGCGCAAGCCUGAUCCAGCCAUGCCGCGUGCAGGAUGACGGUCCUAUGGAUUGUAAACUGCUUUUGUACAGGAAGAAACACUCCCUCGUGAGGGAGCUUGACGGUACUGUAAGAAUAAGGAUCGGCUAACUCCGUGCCAGCAGCCGCGGUAAUACGGAGGAUCCAAGCGUUAUCCGGAAUCAUUGGGUUUAAAGGGUCCGUAGGCGGUUUAAUAAGUCAGUGGUGAAAGCCCAUCGCUCAACGGUGGAACGGCCAUUGAUACUGUUAAACUUGAAUUAUUAGGAAGUAACUAGAAUAUGUAGUGUAGCGGUGAAAUGCUUAGAGAUUACAUGGAAUACCAAUUGCGAAGGCAGGUUACUACUAAUGGAUUGACGCUGAUGGACGAAAGCGUGGGUAGCGAACAGGAUUAGAUACCCUGGUAGUCCACGCCGUAAACGAUGGAUACUAGCUGUUGGGCGCAAGUUCAGUGGCUAAGCGAAAGUGAUAAGUAUCCCACCUGGGGAGUACGU